rnacentral:rRNA from 1 species
AUUGAACGCUGGCGGCAGGCCUAACACAUGCAAGUCGAACGAGUGGCGGACGGGUGAGUAAUGUCUGGGAAACUGCCUGAUGGAGGGGGAUAACUACUGGAAACGGUAGCUAAUACCGCAUACCAUCAGAUGUGCCCAGAUGGGAUUAGCUUGUUGGUGGGGUAACGGCUCACCAAGGCGACGAUCCCUAGCUGGUCUGAGAGGAUGACAAUCCACACUGGAACUGAGACACGGGCCAGACGACUAGGGGAGGCAGAAGUGGGGAAUAUGGCACAAUGGGCGCAAGCCUGAUGCAGCAAUGCCGAGGGGAUGAAGAAGGCAUUCGGGUGGUAAAGUACUUUCAGCGGGGAGGCGUUACCCGCAGAAGAAGCACCGGCUAACUCCGUGCCAGCAGCCCCGGUAAUUC